GCACCCAUAGUUUAACGGAUAGAACACGGGCCUCCGAAGCUCGGAAUGUAGGUUCAAUUCCUACUGGGUGCACCA
rnacentral:tRNA from 1 species